rnacentral:rRNA from 1 species
GACGAACGCUGGCGGCGUGCUUAACACAUGCAAGUCGAACGAGUGGCGAACGGGGGAGUAACACGUGGGUGACCUGCCCUGCAAUUCGGGAUAAGCCUGGGAAACUGGGUCUAAUACCGGAUAGUGUGGGAUGGGCCCGAGGCAUAUCAGCUUGUUGGUGGGGGAAUGGCUACCAAGGCGCGACGGGUAGCCGGCCUGCGAGGGUGGACGGCCACAUUGGGACUGAGACACGGCCCAGACUCCUACGGGAGGCAGCAGUGGGGAAUAUUGCACAAUGGGCGGAAGCCUGAUGCAGCGACGCCGCGUGGGGGAUGACGGCCUUCGGGUUUUAAAGUACUUUCAGUUGGGAGGCGUUACCAACAGAAUAAGCACCGGCUAACUUCGUGCCAGCAGCCGCGGUAAUAC